rnacentral:rRNA from 1 species
UACAGAGGGUGCAAGCGUUGCUCGGAAUUAUUGGGCGUAAAGGGUAGGUAGGUGGUCUUGUUUGUCAGAGGUGAAAGCCCUGGGCUUAACCCAGGAAGUGCCUCUGAAACGGCAAGACUCGAGUACUGGAGAGGGUCGUGGAAUUCCCGGUGUAGCGGUGAAAUGCGUAGAGAUCGGGAGGAACACCAGAGGCGAAGGCGGCGACCUGGACAGUUACUGACACUCAACUACGAAAGCGUGGGGAGCAAACAGG